rnacentral:tRNA from 1 species
GAGGGUAGAUCUCAGUGGUAGAGUACAUGUUUAGCAUGCGUGAGAUCUUGGGUUCAACCCCCACUACUUCCA